rnacentral:rRNA from 1 species
AUUGAACGCUGGCGGCAUGCCUUACACAUGCAAGUCGAACGGUAACGGGCCUUCGGGUGCCGACGAGUGGCGCACGGGUGAGUAAUACAUCGGAACGUGCCCGAUCGUGGGGGAUAACGAGGCGAAAGCUUUGCUAAUACCGCAUACGAUCUACGGAUGAAAGCAGGGGACCGCAAGGCCUUGCGCGGACGGAGCGGCCGAUGGCGGAUUAGGUAGUUGGUGGGAUAAAAGCUUACCAAGCCGACGAUCUGUAGCUGGUCUGAGAGGAUGAUCAGCCACACUGGGACUGAGACACGGCCCAGACUCCUACGGGAGGCAGCAGUGGGGAAUUUUGGACAAUGGGCGCAAGCCUGAUCCAGCCAUGCCGCGUGCAGGAUGAAGGCCUUCGGGUUGUAAACUGCUUUUGUACGGAACGAAAAGCCUUCUUUUAAUACAGGAGGGUCAUGACGGUACCGUAAGAAUAAGCACCGGCUAACUACGUG